GACGUAGGGGCGAGCGUUGUCCGGAAUUACUGGGCGUAAAGAGCACGUAGGCGGGAACUUAAGUCAGGUGUGAAAGACCGUGGCUCAACCACGGGGUGGCAUUUGAAACUGGGUUUCUUGAGGGCAGGAGAGGAAAGCAGAAUUCCUGGUGUAGCGGUGAAAUGCGUAGAAAUCAGGAGGAAUACCAGUGGCGAAGGCGGCUUUCUGGACUGACCCUGACGCUGAGGUGCGAAAGCGUGGGUAGCAAACAGGAUUAGAUACCCCGGUAGUCCCUGAGCGGG
rnacentral:rRNA from 1 species